rnacentral:lncRNA from 1 species
UCUGAUGUGUAUAAGAGACAGCAUCUGGGAAAUUCCAUUGAAAGGCCCACAGCUCUCAAUAGCCCCACAGCCGUCUGUCGCUGCAGGAGGCUCAAACCCAGUGACUCUGGGCCCCUUGCAUUAAAAUAAUUACCGGACAGAACAGGUGGCCAGCUCCCAGUCCUGGCACAUCUGGGCCCCACUGCCACCAGAGGAAGAGAACUGCACCGUGGGCCCAGAGAAGGGAAAGUCAGGCUGGUUGGCAGGAGCCAGGGAGGAAAGCAGGUCUUUUCCGAGCUUGUGGCUGGUCACUGAGUCUCUGCACCCUGCUGGUGCAGACCGGAGGAAGGAGGAUGCUGCCCUAUUCCCGGAGCAGAUGAGAGCAGCUAGCACACCACUGGGGCCUCACAGAUUCAGGGCCAGGGCAGAACCUUGAACUCACACCAGGCUCCCAGGUUGGAGGUGUACACACAGAACCAGACUUUGGGCCAAAAACUUGCAGGAGAGGGUAACAGCCAUGCUCUCAGGCUUGGAGGUCAGCUCCCGAGACUGCAUGGUCGCAUUGAGAGCCUGGGUGUGUUGUGUGUUGUGUGUGCAGGGUGGCUCCCAAUUCUCCCGACCAUGCGAAUUUCCAGGACUGGCCGUGAGGAAAGGACCGGACCCUUACGGAGGUCUCCACUGUGCGGCUAAAAAGAGCGACGCAGCCCAGGCAUAGGGCCAAGCCUAUUGCCAAAAACACAUAUUACACUGAGACAUUCUGUAAAUGAGAUAAUGAUACAUAAACCCGGAUGAUAGAUGUGACGUGCCUGGAUGUCUUCUCUAGAUUAGCUGCUCGCAUCGACUGCUAAUAAUGGUGAGUUUAUGAAAGCAAUUUCAGUGCAAACUGCGAGAGGGUCUUCUCACUCUAAUCAGCCUGCCGCAGCUAAUGGACGAGGGGGUCAGGCUGAGAGUUAUUGACACGCCUGUGCCCUUAACCUGUUUCCCAAUAAAGCUGAUUAGUUUUCGUCAAUUCAUCAGCUAACCACUCUUGCUGGGACUGCAUCAAAGCCGUAUUUGCUCAGGGGAAAUCAACAAGUCACAGAUCAGCUCCAUUAAGGGGCCCGGCUGGCCAGAACUGCCCUGGGGCCGAGGGACACUGGUGGACUUCACCCCACAUCCCAGAGCACCCAGAGUGGCUGACAGCUGGGGACCCUGAAAC